rfam:Schistosoma mansoni strain Puerto Rico chromosome W, complete genome
AUUCAGCUGACGAGUCCUUAACAGGACGAAACGCGAGUUCUGUAU